UAUAACAUAUCUAAUGCUUUCUAGUGUCUUAUUUCUUUAGGUAUGGAUAGCGAAGGUUUUUAUCAACCAGUAGACUUCCAAGAGAAUCAGAAUGCUCCCACUCAGUACGGUCAGACUUAUUCCUAGUGGAGGCGGGCAUUUCUACCAGCCAUCUAAACAGGGAUAUGCAGGCUAUGAGGGUACAGACACAUAAGGCAACCAGCAUACAAGCACUCUAGCUUCAAUGAAUGUAGAUCCUGGUGCCUCAAUUGGUAGUACCAUCAGCGAAUACAGUUCCACCACCACAGAAGCAGAGGGUGAUGCGGACUGGACGAACAGCAAUGCAUCUAAUUUUGAUUAUUAUGGAGCUACCACAUACAAUGCGACUUCCAAGAACAUUGACUCACCAAGCACAAUGCCAUCUACACCAAGUAACACAAUUACUCCUCCUGAAUCCCCAACCACAAGAACACUUUCACAGAGCUCAAGCAACAAAGGGUCAGCACCUACCCCUGUAGCGAAAGCAGAAACCUCAGCACAAACAUUCGGAGCUAAAUUCAACUGUGAAACCAAAGAGUGGUGGCAGUAGCUGGUUCCGUGGUCUUUUCAGUCGGUUUGGUGGUAAAAACGAUGUUCAUCUGCCAGAUGAUAGUGACAAAAUAAUUGAAUGGGAUGAAAAGAAGCAAAAAUAAGUGAAUAAAGAUAGCGAUGGAGAUAAUAAUGAUGGUAUAGUUGCACCCCCACCGAGUGAUUCGCAGCUGUCUCAAACUUCCCCUCCUAGUGCACUACCCCCCAACCUCUGCAUCUAGUGUUAAAAAAUUCUCAAAGAAACAUGCUGUCUCGUACUAGCUCCAUGAGUGACCUAUCCCAGGAGGUCAGUCAGCAUCUGGGCGGACAGGGACAGUCAAACCAAUGGGACUCAACAGCUUCAGCAGAGCCAGCCGUACCUGCGAUGCCGAUGAUGUUCAAUCCUCAGCAAUUCUCUCAACAGAGCUUCCAACCACCUAUGAUGCAACCAAGUCCCUCAACUUCUGGCCCGACCUCUAGAGCUUAUCGCCAACGAAGGCAGUACCCGACUCAGAAAUAACAAGAGAUGUCAAGUACACAAUGCCUUACUGUUAUGAACACUAGAUGACAAUGGGAUUAAUAUAUUAUUUAAAUAAUGAAAUAUAUAUAAAAGAACAUUCGAAAUGCUUCCAAAUUAAAAUUUUGAAUGAUUGUGUAAAUUAUAUUGAGUUCAGAAUAAAUUUACUAUGUACUGUAACAUUACAUAACAUAAGCUUCAAAUAUGAAUAAAUAAAAAACAAGCUAAUUAGGUUGUAGUAUUAUGGAAGGGAUUACAAUGCUUCAUUGUUUUUACAGUACAGUAAUAAGAUGUGGAGGUUUAGCAUUUUAGAAUUCAGUGGAGUAAACUGUUAUAUAUUUAUGAUAACUGAGUGAUAUCAUGUAGAGCCAAGAAUGGCUACAAUUUAAAUUUUGUUUGAAUCAAUUAAUUCUCAUUAAAUCUCUUAAUUAAAAAAAUUAUUCAUUGUAAGUGCACUGAACUUAACAUACGGACUCAUUUUCCAUUGUCUAUUUUUUUUAUUGUUAGAGACAGCGCUAAUUUGUAAUUCUUGGAUAUUGUUGCUGAGGCGAGACUUUUUUUAUACUCUGUUUAUAUUUUAAAGAUCGUCAGUGGAGGGUGGAAAAAAUAUAAAAUAAUAUAUUUUUUUCUUAUUUAGCAAAUAGUUUUCCCAAAUACAUCUAGACGAAGGUGGAUAUAUAAAUAUAAUUUUAUUGUUGAAUGUAAACAGUGUAGUAA
rnacentral:lncRNA from 1 species